AGUGAACGCUGGCGGUAGGCCUAACACAUGCAAGUCGAACGGCAGCACAGUAAGAGCUUGCUCUUACGGGUGGCGAGUGGCGGACGGGUGAGGAAUACAUCGGAAUCUACUUUUUCGUGGGGGAUAACGUAGGGAAACUUACGCUAAUACCGCAUACGACCUACGGGUGAAAGCAGGGGAUCUUCGGACCUUGCGCGAUUGAAUGAGCCGAUGUCGGAUUAGCUAGUUGGCGGGGUAAAGGCCCACCAAGGCGACGAUCCGUAGCUGGUCUGCGAGGAUGAUCAGCCACACUGGACCUGAGACACGGUCCAGACUCCUACGGGAGGCCGCAGUGGGGAAUAUUGGACAAUGGGCGCAAGCCUGAUCCAGCCAUACCGCGUGGGUGAAGAAGGCCUUCGGGUUGUAAAGCCCUUUUGUUGGGAAAGAAAAGCAGCAGGUUAAUACCCCGCUGUUCUGACGGUACCCAAAGAAUAAGCACCGGCUAACUUCGUG
rnacentral:rRNA from 1 species